GAUCCUGGCUCAGGACGAACGCUGGCGGCGCGCCUAACACAUGCAAGUCGAACGGAGUCAAGAGGAGCUUGCUUUUCUUGACUUAGUGGCGAACGGGUGAGUAACGCGUGAGUAACCUGCCCUGGAGUGGGGGACAACAGUUGGAAACGACUGCUAAUACCGCAUAAGCCCACGGCCCGGCAUCGGGCUGCGGGAAAAGGAUUUAUUCGCUUCAGGAUGGACUCGCGUCCAAUUAGCUAGUUGGUGAGGUAACGG
rnacentral:rRNA from 1 species